rnacentral:rRNA from 1 species
UACAGAGGGUGCUAGCGUUGUUCGGAAUCAUUGGGCGUAAAGGGCGCGUAGGCGGCCUGUGCAAGUCAGUUGUGAAAUCUCCGAGCUUAACUCGGAACGGUCACUGAUACUGCUCGGCUAGAGUGCGGAAGGGGCAACUGGAAUUCUUGGUGUAGCGGUGAAAUGCGUAGAUAUCUGGAGGAACACCGGUGCGAAGGCGGCAUCCGUGGACCGA